GAUGAACGCUGGCUACAGGCUUAACACAUGCAAGUCGAGGGGAAACGACGGGGAAGCUUGCUUCCCCGGGCGUCGACCGGCGCUCGGGUGAGUAACGCGUAUCCAACCUGCCUCUGACUGAGGGAUAACCCGUCGAAAGUCGGCCUAAUACCUCAUGGCAUCGUCUGCGGGCAUCCAACGACGAUUAAAGAUUUCAUCGGUCAGAGAUGGGGAUGCGUCUGAUUAGCUUGUUGGCGGGGUAACGGCCCACCAAGGCGACGAUCAGUAGGGGUUCUGAGAGGAAGGUCCCCCACAUUGGAACUGAGACACGGUCCAAACUCCUACGGGAGGCAGCAGUGAGGAAUAUUGGUCAAUGGGCGAGAGCCUGAACCAGCCAAGUAGCGUGCAGGAUGACGGCCCUAUGGGUUGUAAACUGCUUUUAUGCGGGGAUAAAGUGAGGGACGUGUCCUUCAUUGCAGGUACCGCAUGAAUAAGGACCGGCUAAUUCCGUG
rnacentral:rRNA from 1 species